rnacentral:rRNA from 1 species
CCUACGGGUGGCAGCAGUAGGGAAUAUUGCUCAAUGGGGGGAACCCUGAAGCAGCAACGCCGCGUGGAGGAUGAAGGUUUUCGGAUUGUAAACUCCUUUUGUCAGAGAAGAUAAUGACGGUAUCUAACGAAUAAGCCCCGGCUAACUCCGUGCCAGCAGCCGCGGUAAUACGGAGGGUGCAAGCGUUACUCGGAAUCACUGGGCGUAAAGGGCGCGUAGGCGGGAUAGCAAGUCAGAUGUGAAAUCCUAUGGCUUAACCAUAGAACUGCAUUUGAAACUGUUAUUCUAGAGUAUGGGAGAGGUAGGUGGAAUUCCUGGUGUAGCGGUAAAAUGCGUAGAGAUCAAGAGGAAUACUGAUGGCGAAGGCGACCUGCUAGAACAUGACUGACGCUGAGGCGCGAAAGCGUGGGGAGCAAACAGGAUUAGAUACCCGAGUAGUC